CUAAAGGCCCUUUUAAGGGCCACCCACAAGACCUGAGAGCUUACGU
rnacentral:ncRNA from 1 species